AGGGGGCUAGCGUUGCUCGGAAUCACUGGGCGUAAAGCGCACGUAGGCGGAUUGCUAAGUCAGGGGUGAAAUCCUGGAGCUCAACUCCAGAACUGCCUUUGAUACUGGCGAUCUUGAGUCCGGGAGAGGUGAGUGGAACUGCGAGUGUAGAGGUGAAAUUCGUAGAUAUUCGCAAGAACACCAGUGGCGAAGGCGGCUCACUGGCCCGGUACUGACGCUGAGGUGCGAAAGCGUGGGGAGCAAACAGG
rnacentral:rRNA from 1 species